GACAGUGUGCUUUAUGAAAGCACUUUAAUUUUCAGAGGUUUCGGACUUCAGAAUUAUUGCCAAGGGAUUGUGGCCCUGUAUUAUUUCCCCUACUUUGUGGAUAAGAAACUGAGGCACAGAGAGGUUAAGUAGCUGGCCAGUCACACAGUGAGAGAGAGCCAGGUAGGGACCCCCAUUCGUGGGACUCCAGCCACUGCGGGCGCCUCCUUAUGAAUGAAGGUCCCUGAUGCCGAGUUUCUUUAUUUACAGAGCGGGAUUGUAACUCCCGCUUCCUGAAAGACUUGGGGAGAUCAAAUGAAAUAACACAUACGAAACACCUGGUACAAUGGGCCUUCAGUAAAUGGUGCUUCUGGACAUUGGCUACAAGAGCAUCCGGCCGGAAAACCUUAGAGAGGGAAUAUUCUUAGCCAGACACGAGCAUGCGCGGUGGAAAGAUCAGUUAGCAUAGCUCUUAGUUAGACGCACGUUCACAACAGAUAUUUGGUUUUUGGUUUUAAAAUAAGAAAAUAACACUCAAAGUAGGGAUCUCACAAGGAAAGGAAGGAGGAUUUUGUUGCCUGGAUGAUCUGCCUGCUGAGUGACAUUUUAUUUCUGCUUCAUCAGGUGGCAAAGGACCAUUUAAAAAAUGGAGGAACGGUUUCUACAGUUUAUUUCUCCAAUUUUUAGGAUUCUAUCUUGGCAAUUUCCUGGCAGGCUCCCCUCUGUGAUUCACCUGCUUUCUGCCGUCUGCGUGGGUCCUAAGCACAUGCUUCCCCAAAGGUCUGGAACCGGAAAAAGAGGGGACAUGAGCUAUGAAGAUGCCUCUGCACCUUGCUGCCACGUAAGUGACAAACCUGUGGACAUUGAUGUUAAGCCUGGCGGAGCAGGAAGUUUUGCAGGGAACAAGGGUCUGUGAUUGCUUCACUGUGCUCGCCUACCAGCUUGGACGGUCUCCCUCUGGGCAUCUUAAUAUAUCUGAAAUCAGAAUGCGCCUUCCGAUAAAUGACAUCUUACAACUAAUCGGCGGGGUUGUUUCUAUACUUUCUUUUUCCCCCUUUGGAAGUCCUUAAAUAAUGACACAUCUUACAAUGAGUGGUGUCCUUGAUUUAGUAAACUGUGGUAACUGCAAACCAAGUAUUGAUUUGGUUUAAGCGAUUGCAUAUUUCGGAGAGGCCAGCGUGCGUGCACUUGAUCUCCCUGGGCUUAAAGCUAUGAAACUGCGAGUCCUGGAAGGGAACAGGGAAAAUCCGCACGUAGCAGCUGCACGUGCAGCCCCCCCUGCCCCCGACACCUCGUCUUUCCUCGCGCAGUCACCUGCCAUGUAGCAAAGCGGGCACAGGCUCAACCUUUAAUUCCUUAAUGAAGGUUUCUUUGAAAACAAACAGGGUCCUCCGUCUACUUGCAUUUUAACGUCACAAGAAAAUAAAAGCUUUCCCAAAUCCUGUCCCCUCUCUCACCCCACCAGAUCCACUUUUCUGGCUUAAUGCAGGUUGAAAUGAGGUGUUUUCUGUUUUUUCUUUUUUUUCCUGAUGAAAAUAUUAUAGGAAUUAAAAACCAAACCCAUUAAUAUCCUGAUUAGACUCCCCAUGUUAAUUGCAGAUUCUUUCAGGCGACAGAACAGGUCACUGUCUGGGCUGAAUGUGAUCGCGGUGUUUAAUAAGAGCUGCCCGUAGGAAUAGCAGUUUGCAGCGAAGACUUUUGCCACCUGGCAGAUGAAGCUGGGAAGUGAUUUUUCCUUUCUCACGCUUGCGAGAAGGAACAGCAGGUACUGAGCGCUGCCUUUGGGGAAGGGGAGCCAGAUUGGAAAAAGGGAACGAGGGGGCCCGGUUAUUUCUUUCCUUUUUCAACACGCUUCCUGGCAACCUCAGUACGGAUUUUCCUCUUUCCCACUCCUGCCUUCCCAAAAGAAGGUGAUUGAGAGGGUUCUUGCACGCAAACAAACAAGCAAACAAAAAGCAGCAGGAGGCACUGUUUGUAACAGAAGUUUCUGGGCUCCCCAUCCCUGAAAUGCCUUCCUCCUUCAUCCAUGGGGCUGGAGCAGGGGGCAAAAACAAACACCUAGUAUCCACACAGAGAGCACAAAGGGCUGAGUGGGGACUGUGGCAAACUGCAGAAGCCUGGUCCUGUGGUAAGGGACGGAGUCAACUGAGUCUUUGCGUGUUGCACAAGCUCUGUGUUUAGGACAGGGUCUGAGCACCUCUCCUCGCCUACAGAGUACACACGUCCGUCCAAGGAGGUGGGAGUAACUCAGCCCCCAGUGUGCAUCACAACCACAUCAGGGGCUUAGUUAGAGCGCAGGGCUCUGGGCCCCAUCCUUGGGGGUUCUGAUCCAGUCGGUCUCUGGGGAGGCCAAGGGUUUCCUUUUAAACAGGUUGCAGGUGGUGCUGAUGCUGCUUAUUUGGGGGACACACUUGGGGAACUACUGGCCCCCAGCCUGGUCGCCUGGGCUGUCGUACGGCCUCCUAACUGGUCUCCGGGGUCUACCCUGCCCGCUUAGAGCUUGUCUUGCCGCGGGGGUCCCGGUUCACAGCACAGCUGUGCUCGCUCACAUCUCCUGGCUCCCAUCGGGUUCCAGAAGGAACCAAGUACUUCAGUCCUGUCUGCUUCCCUGGCAGACUCACAGUCCGCCCUGGCGUCCAAGAGACAAUCCACGUCUUUCCAUGGCUUCUCCCUGGUCAGUUACUAACUUUCCAUUCAAGCUGCUCUACUAAAUUUUCUCAACCACACUGCUUUAUAAUUCCAGCUUCUCUGAUCAUUUAAA